rnacentral:lncRNA from 1 species
UCACCAACCACAAUCUACCUGUGGUCAAUCUUUUCCGUGUUUGUCCUCGCUGCCGUGCUUCACCCUAGAGAGUUUCUGUGCCUCAUAUAUGGCAUAUGUUACCUUCUGUGUCUACCAUCCGGGUACCUGCUGUUGAUGAUCUACAGCGUGUGCAACAUUCCAGACAAGAGUUGGGGAACCCGAGAGAAGAAGAACUAUGGAGACGUUAUGGGCGAACCGGGAUACAAGCGACUUCAGAAGAUAAUGGAGAUCCUAUGUUUUAGCCUCGGUAUUUCUCAGCGAACUGGACAUAACUGAGUCACGUCCGCCAUGUUGAGGAUCCAGUCCAGCAAACCUGUAAGCCACCAUUGUAAGUCUGGAACUGUUUGUCAAGAUUCCACGACCAGUUGGUUUUCAUAAGUUUAAAAACAUUCGUCUUCUUUCUGAUCACGUG